rnacentral:rRNA from 1 species
UACGAAGGGGGCUAGCGUUGCUCGGAAUCACUGGGCGUAAAGCGCACGUAGGCGGAUUGUUAAGUCAGGGGUGAAAUCCUGGAGCUCAACUCUGGAACUGCCUUUGAUACUGUCGAUCUGGAGUAUGGAAGAGGUGAGUGGAAUUCCGAGUGUAGAGGUGAAAAUUCGUAGAUAUUCGGAGGAACACCAGUGGCGAAGGCGGCUCACUGGUCCAUUACUGACGCUGAGGUGCGAAAGCGUGGGGAGCAAACAGG